rnacentral:misc_RNA from 1 species
CUCCAAAGAAAAGAUUUCCCAAGGGUGCACGAAGCCUCACAUAGACAUCUUCUGGCUUUCCGACCACAUCGUAUGCAUAACAACCAAGUGAGUUUGGAUCUGUUCCCCAUCGCGAUACGAGAUAUCGAACAGGCUCUGUUGCAUCAGGAAACAUUUUCUUCAGCUGUAACAUCACAAAAUUUGCAGAAGACUCGUCAGAUAGCUUCUCAAGAUCACAUGCAAACCUACCAGCGGCCAUAUAGACAAGUACAGGAUGGCCAGUUGCCU